CAUUCAUUUACCUCCUCCUUAAAAAAUCCCAGUGCUGAGGACUCUGCACCUUUCUUAUGCAAUCUAUUCCUCCACUUCUACUUCCUUCUCAUCAAAAAAUGUUCUCCUGAAGUCUAACCUCUAUGCUUGAACAGAAGAUGAAUUUGAGUUAAGUGCAGUUUCCUCAGCCCAUUUUCAAUCUCACUUAAAUCCAACAAAUGUAAGUCAACUGGCGUCCCCCCAUACUGCUCCUUCUCCUUCAUAAUAUUGUCAAAUUCAUUUGCUUGUUUCAGUACCUGAGGAGCAAGACAACAACAGGGGAGCCAGUGAAAAUGUCAGGAGCCCAUCUCUGUAUGUAUGAACCUGUAACAGAAAUCAUGUUGAGAUAAGGCAGGCUUCAGGCUGAGACAUGAGUGAUCCAGUCUUGCACACAGUGUUGAUUUUUUCAAGCACUCUCCCAGGUUUCCCAGAAGGAUUUGAUAGAUUGGCACAUUGCCUGGGGUCAGUAAUAAUGGAACAAAUUUAUCAUGGUGCAGUCCCUCCCUGACUAGAACAGUUAGAUUCGGUUUUCUGUGUUUAUAUACACUGACCACCAUGUGCUUCCAGCCUCCAUAUAUUCUAAAAUAAAUUAAGAAAAAAAAUGACCA
rnacentral:lncRNA from 1 species